UCGACCUACCCCUUCCCAUCCGGGUUGAAUCUGCCCUGAAACCCACCUUAUAUAUCUCCCUCUCUUUCUUGACGCAUCCAAUCUCACAAUCAUCUCCCUCUUCACCUCCUUCGCCUCGUCAAUUUUUGUCACCCAUCCCAACCAGUGCCCCGAACUCCGACUUGGGAAGAAAAACCUGCCCUCCAAUGCGACCAUUAUCUAAAAUAAAGAGUCGCCAGCACGAGUCCAGACUACCACGCUACGCCAAGCCAUCGCAUUUCAUAUCCCACCAACCUCACUUCCAUACGCAGGCCAAGCCCAAGCUCCUCCCUCACCGAAAACAUUCCGACUAUUUUAGCUGGUAGUGUUGGAGUUGCUGUACCCAAAAAAUGGGACGAGAAAAACGAGCUGAGGAAGCCCUAAUCCUCCUUCGAAGCCGCCUCUGCAACCCUAAUUUCAUCUUCACUUCUCUCUCUGACUCUCCCGACAGCAACUACAGUAAGUUGAAGUUUAUAGUAUCAAGUUCGGUUACUGAGGCAUGUAACAACUCAGUUCUGCUUCUUGGUCCCCGUGGCUGUGGAAAAAUUGCGGUGUUGGAGCUUGUUAUUGAAGAUCUAUUGAAAGAGUAUCCUGACAUGAUAUUAGUGAUAAAGCUGAAUGGACUUUUACACAGUGAUGACAAUUGCGCACUUAAGGUGCAAAUUCAUUCCCAUGCAAAGAAUAUGAAAAAUGUAGAAUGCUACUUAAUUGUCACUUCGUCAUCAUCGGGAAGGUGAUUAAAGAAAUCUUAUGCACAUGGCUUCCUUUUCAUUGAUUUGUUUUUUUAACUCUUCAUUUUAAGUUAGAUGUUAUAAGAGCAAGGUUCUCCAAACCAACUUAAAAUUUCUUCUGAUAGUUCUUGUCAUGAUUCUUCCUUUUUUGUUUUUCUUUCUCCCUUUCUGCAAUGAAAGCUUUAAUUGUAAAGUUGAUAUCUAGAACAUUUUUUUAAAGUAGCACCACAAGUUUUAUUCAUUUCUGAAAAUUAAAACAAUUUGUAACCUGUCAGAACUAGAUUGAUUAAUAAUAUAGGAGCACUAUGAACCUACUGAUUAUAACCUCUCUCUCUCUCUCUCUCACACACACACACACACACACACACACAAAUGUAACUGUAUCUAGUAACCGCUAGUAUAAAGAGAGCUUUUUAUAGCAUGCUGUAUGGUAUGGCUAUCCAUCAAAGAAUUUGGUAAAACUAAACUACUUAUAAUAGGCCUCUAGCUUUGUCACAUUUGACAUGUUUUAACAGAUAGUAGCAAUAAUUCACCAUUCAAAUCAAUCAAAAUGGCACAGACCUUUUACUUCAUUAAAUCAUACCCUACGGUUGCACUUUGCAAUUAUUGGAUCUAUUGCAUCAAUUAAUUACUAGAAAGGAACAAUGAAUUCAAAUGGCAGCACUCUGUGAAAUGAUUUUGUGAAUCACAUAAGACUUGGUUGUAACCUUAAACUCUUGAGGGAAAGGAAGACAAUGGACUAUGUGAAGCUAAUGCAUAAGAGUUACAACAUGAAUGACAUCUUGCCAGAUAGCAAUGUACAGUACCCCUUGGAAGUUUGUGUUUUAGUUUUUGGGCACAAGCCAAUGCUGCUUACUUUAGUAUGCACAUUUGUGAUAUUGCUUAUCUGCUUCUGCAAUAUUUCUCAGACUCUUCUCUAUGAAAUUCAAAUAAAAGUGUUGUAGGAUUGCUUUUUUAUUCUGGAAAAGUUUCUAUUUGUUCUUAUUUUCUUUUCUCUCAUUCAUUCUUAUCUAUUAUUCAGGAAAUGGCUAGACAAUUAUGUGUGGAACAUCAAUUGUUGUUCUCAAAAAGGGCAUCAUUUGAUGAUAACACCCAGUUCAUGAUAGCAAUGUUAAGGGAAUAAGUUAUUCAAAGCUUUCGAAUUUACCACCUAUAGUCGGCCUCUACUCAAGCUUAAUCCUGCGGUUGGUCCAGUCUCAAUAGCAACAUCUUUCCGCCGAAUGAAUACAUAAUUGAGGGCAAUUCAAGCUAUUAGUUUUACCCACGGUAAUUUGCCCUAACCUAUAAAAGAUUUGUAACAAGUUUACAAAUACAAACUUACUACAUAAAAGAUAGAGUUUCAGGUAGAUUACUCUACUUAUAUUUUCCGACUUUAGUUCUAUGUCUUAUGAUAAGGUUUGGACUCAGGUGAUGUUUAAUAAAGUUGAAAAUUAAAAAUUAA